AGAGUUUGAUCCUGGCUCAGGAUGAACGCUGGCGGCGUGCCUAAAACAUGCAAGUCGAGCGGCAGCACGGUCUUCGGACUGGUGGCGAGCGGCGGACGGGUGAGUAACACGUAGGAAUUUGCCCCAAAGUGAGGAAUAACUGCCCGAAAGGGUAGCUAAUACCGCAUAUGGUCUUCGGAUUAAAGCCUUCGGGCGCUUUGGGAGAAGCCUGCGUACGAUUAGCUAGUUGGUAAGGUAAAGGCUUACCAAGGCGACGAUCGUUAAUUGGUCUGAGAGGGUGAUCAGUCACACUGGAACUGAGACACGGUCCAGACUCCUACGGGAGGCAGCAGUUAGGAAUCUUCCACAAUGGGCGAAAGCCUGAUGGAGCAACGCCGCGUGCAGGACGAAGGCCUUCGGGUUGUAAACUGCUUUUAUAUGCGAAGAAUAUGACGGUAACAUAUGAAUAAGGAUCGGCUAACUCCGUGCCAGCAGCCGCGGUCAUACGGAGGAUCCAAGCGUUAUCCGGAGUGAUUGGGCGUAAAGAGUUGCGUAGGUGGUGAUUCAAGCGAAUAGUGAAAUCUUGUGGCUCAACCAUGAGGCUAUUAUUCGAACUGGGUUACUUGAGAGCAGGAGAGGUAGAUGGAAUUUCUGAUGUAGGGGUAAUAUCCGUAGAUAUCAGAAGGAACACCAAUGGCGUAGGCAGUCUACUGGCCUGUUUCUGACACUGAGGCACGAAAGCGUGGGGGAGCGAACCGGGAUUAGAUACCCGGGUAGUCCACGCCGUAAACUAUGGAUGCUAGCUGUUGGACGUAUCGACCCGUUCAGUAGCGAASUAACGCGUUAAGCAUCCCGCCUGGGGAGUACGGUCGCAAGAUUAAAACUCAAAGGAAUUGACGA
rnacentral:rRNA from 1 species